UCCCAGUAGACGACUGGGUUGAUAGGCCAGAUGUGGAAGCCCGGUAACGGGUGGAGCUGACUGGUACUAAUAGGCCGAGGGCUUGUCCU
rnacentral:rRNA from 1 species